rnacentral:lncRNA from 1 species
UGGAGAUCGAUCAAACACAGGGGGCGACCCAAGCUUCCCCAUAACCCUAGUUCUUGACAAAUCCUCCAAAUUGAAGGUCCAAAUCAAGUCCAAAACGAAAUCCGAGCAUAGACUAGUGAUCCCCAUGCAAGGAGAUCAUAAGCUUGACACCUAACGAGCUAGAUGGAAGCUUGUGGAUGAAGCGGGUCAAACGGAGCGAGUACGGAAAGAAAAACGUGGCAUGGAUGCAAGGUAAGUGAAACUUACACCUUUUAGUAAAAUAAAUGUUCAUCCUAUAAGUUUCAAAUACAUUAAGGAUAAUUUUCAAGAUAUGGUUCCCGACGCGAAAUAAUACGGGUCGGAACUAAUAUAAAUGAUAAAAACCAUGUUUAAUGGUAAAAGAGAUAGAACGGUAAAUUAGCCAUGAAAAGCUAAUUAUAAAAAUGGGUUUUGAACGGUAACUAUAAGUAAGCCUAAUGAAUAAAAAGAGUAAAACGGGUCAAAUGGUAAUGUGGAUACCAUUUGACAAAUAUCGACUAAUAAGCACUUGUCGAGUUUUAUGCUUACAGGAUAAAGUAGCUUAUGAAUUAGCGUUGCUAUGAAUUAGCAAAUUUUCGAGACAAGGUAUUAAAACGGGUCAAUAUAUUGAUCCGAGCCAGGUACGUAUAAUUAUGUUAUAGUUAAAAGUGCUAAUUUGGUCAAUAAUUGGUGAGAGUCUUUCGUCGUAAAAUAAGAGACUAGAAUUGGCCAAAAAGCCCUUAACGGGCGAACCGGGUAAACGACCGUUAGAGUUUGUUUAGAAACUGGUUUAUUGAUUUUGAAACCCUUAGAUACAUAUAAAAAGUAUAGGCAAAAACGUUUGCGGGUCAAAAUAGACUAAGAAGUAAAUUGUGGUUAAAUGAUUAGAUAGAUACAAAUGAAUCGGUGAAUGUAAACGCCUACGUAAACUCUAGGAUGGGAGUGAAAACGUUAAGGUUUGACAAGCCCGGGAUGGGUAAAAUGAUAGGAAUUGACUAUUUUCUUUUUAGAGCAUGUAGUGAAAUAAUAAUGCCAAACGGGUCGAAUAAUCCCCUAAAGGAUUUAUGAGCCAACAUUGGAUAAAUAAGAUUUUUAUGCAAACCAGGGUGAUAAAUGGGUCCGUAAUUUAAUUACGGACGCAUGGGAAAAAGAAUCACCUAAAACGGACUUGUAGAUAAAAAGUUAUGACUCUUUAAAGAUCGUUUUACGAUUAAAACCAUAGCUGGGAAAAAUGCAGGUUUCAGCAACAAAACUACUGGAAAAUCAUCUCCCCCGCGACACGUGACAGGGAGCAGUAAUCCUGGCGCGACACGCGAGGGCGCUCGCGACACGCGAAAGAUCAAGAGGAGUCUGUCGCGUGGCGCGACAGACUAAAUUCCGAAAUUUUAUUUUGUUUUUGAUUGUUCGAUACUAGAACUUGAUUAUACUAAUAUUUAAGAUAUCGAAACUAACUUUUAAGUUGGUUUUGAUCUUAGGUGAAUAUCAAGAGUACCCGGAUGAGGAUCAAGCGACGAAAAGAACCGAACACAUGAAAAAUAAGCUUCCGCACGUUGCAUCGUUGUUAUUUCUAAAUGACGAAUUUAAUUACAUUCUGUUGUAUUAUUUUUACAUUGUAAAAGUUUAAAUAAACCCGUAUUUCAUAAGUAUAUGUAGUCGUAAUUACUUAUUUCUUUUCGUAAUUUAUAUGAAAAGCGCUAAAUAAUAGUACGGGUGUUAC